UUUAUUAAUUUAAUGCAUAUUUGUUGAACAAACGAAUGGAUUUCUAUUACAAAACAAGCAAACAUAUACACGCAUUCCCCAAACAUUUAAACGUAAGUAGGUUAUAUCAUAUUUUCCGCCUAAAUAUUAAGCAGCACAACUGUUUUCAACAUUGAUAAUAAUGUUUCUUGAGCAGGAAAUCAGCAUAUUAGAAUGAUUUUUGAAGGCUCGUGUGACACUGAAGACUGGAGUAAUGAUGCUGAAAAUUCAGCUUUGAUCACAGGAAUAAAUUGCAAAAUAAUAAUUAAGAUAAAAUAAUAAAAUCGUAAUGUAUCGUAGGCUAUUAAAGUUCAUGCUCUGGCUCGGUCCUGUGACUACACGUGCGUACCUUCACGGCCACCGUACCGCAGUUACAGAUGUUACAACCGGUUAGCGUGAUUCAUUACACGCACUGUCUUCAUUCAUUACAUACAUUAGGUACAAUACAACCGGUGAAAUAUCACAAAGACUCAUACAGUGCAGGGAUACGGUCUGAGCUAAACAAGGUCAUCUGAUCACAACCGAUGGCCGAAGACGACGCGACGCUGUUUAUUGACAAAGCAGUCAUUUAUUAGCUCGCCGCUGAGCGAAUUCUUUGUUAGAGAGAAAUGCUAUUCUUAUCCAAAAAUCAGCUCAUUGCAGUCGAUAGAUAGUAGAAUCGGGGAAGCACGAGUCAGAUGUCGAUGACUGUAUCGAUUGAAGCGCGUGACAUGAGGCAUGAAGCUGGACUAGAGUGAACAAUGAGCGAGAAGACAGGAGCAGCGUCCUCACAUCACGCGCUCUCCUCGGCAGAGUCAGACACUAUCAUUCCAGAGACUCCUGAAACCAAACGUCCAUCAGGAUCAUCUCUCUCCGUUGCCCUUUCUGACUCUGAUAUUGAGAUCUCAGGCAGUUCCAUGAUGCCAGUCAGGCAAGAAGAGCCCAAGAAGAAAAAAGUGCUAUUGUCUGAGGAUGAGGUAUCACUGUCUGAUGAAGAGGACGUAAUUGUGGUGAAGAGGAGGCUGAAGCACAGCAGAACAACAAGAUCUACCUCACAAGCUCUACAAACACAGCAGAAUGGAUCACAUAUGGUGAUCAGUAGCACAUGCCCCUCGCCCCUGAAGAUGCCUGGGAUGGCAGCGUCUGAUUCGGUCCACGAGAGGAGACAGCAGCAGAUGUGUGGCAGGUCCAAGGAGAGCGAAAGCUCCCAUCGCAGCAGAAAGAGGCGGGCUUCUGCGGUGAGCUCAGAGCCGGUCAUUGGAUUAACAUGGGACGCUCCGUCUCUGAUCCUCUCAAUACUGACAGCAAGGCAUUUUAUGCUGCUGCAAAUCCACCGAGGCUAA
rnacentral:lncRNA from 12 species